GGGUACUCACUCGAUACAGAGUGUAGAGCGAACGAGGGGAACUGAAACAUCUAAGUACCCUUAGGAAGAGAAAUCAAUUGAGAUUCCCGUAGUAGUGGCGAGCGAAGUGGGAAGAGCCUGGUAUGAUUUAGCUGUAAUUAUAGUAGAACAAGUUGGGAAGCUUGACGAUAGAGGGUGAUAGUCCCGUAUACGAAAUAAUCACAGUGGAACUAAGCAUACGAACAAGUAGGACGGGGCACGUGGAACCUUGUCUGAAUAUGGGGGGACCAUCCUCCAAGGCUAAAUACUCCUGAAUGACCGAU
rnacentral:rRNA from 1 species